rnacentral:rRNA from 1 species
AUUGAACGCUGGCGGCAGGCCUAACACAUGCAAGUCGAGCGGAUGAAGGGAGCUUGCUCCUGGAUUCAGCGGCGGACGGGUGAGUAAUGCCUAGGAAUCUGCCUGGUAGUGGGGGAUAACGUCCGGAAACGGGCGCUAAUACCGCAUACGUCCUGAGGGAGAAAGUGGGGGAUCUUCGGACCUCACGCUAUCAGAUGAGCCUAGGUCGGAUUAGCUAGUUGGUGGGGUAAAGGCCUACCAAGGCGACGAUCCGUAACUGGUCUGAGAGGAUGAUCAGUCACACUGGAACUGAGACACGGUCCAGACUCCUACGGGAGGCAGCAGUGGGGAUUAUUGGACAAGAGGCGAAAGCCUGAUCCAGACAUGCCGCGUGUGUGAAGAAGGUCUUCGGAUUGUAAAGCACUUUAAGUUGGGAGGAAGGGCAGUAAGUUAAUACCGUGCUGUUUUGACGUUACCAACAGAAUAAGCACCGGCUAACUUCGUGC